GAUGAACGCUGGCGGCGUGCCUAACACAUGCAAGUCGAACGGAGUCCAGCCUUUAAGACCUUCGGGUCAAAGAGGGGAAGACUGAGUGGCGGACGGGUGAGUAACACGUGGGCAACCUGGCUCAUAGAGGGGGAUAACAGAGAGAAAUUUCUGCUAAUACCGCAUAAGCACACACUGCCGCAUGGCAGAGGGUGAAAAGAGAAUCGCUAUGAGAUGGACCCGCGUCUGAUUAGCCAGUUGGCAGGGUAAGAGCCUACCAAAGCGACGAUCAGUAGCCGAUCUGAGAGGAUGAACGGCCACAUUGGGACUGAGACACGGCCCAAACUCCUACGGGAGGCAGCAGUGGGUGAUAGUGCACAAUGGGGGGAACCCUGAUGCAGCGACGCCGCGUGAGUGAAGAAGUAUUUCGGUAUGUAAAGCUCUAGCAGCAGGGAAGAUAAUGACAGUACCUGAAUAAGAAGCCCCGGCUAACUACGUG
rnacentral:rRNA from 1 species